UCGCGUCUUGCGACGGCAGUUUCACUAGAGUUCCCAGCAUUACCUGAUGGCAACUAAGGGCGAGGGUUGCGCUCGUUGCGGGACUUAACCCAACAUCUCACGACACGAGCUGACGACAGCCAUGCAGCACCUGUGUUCCGGUUCCCUUUCAGGCACACCCGCCUCUCAGCAGGCUUCCAGACACGUCAAGGGUAGGUAAGGUUUUUCGCGUUGCAUCGAAUUAAUCCACACGCUCCGCUGCUUGUGCGGGCCCCCGCCUAUUCCUUUGAGUUUUAACCUUGCGGCCGUAGUCCCCAGGCGGUGAACUUAAUGCGUUAGCUGCGGCACUGAUCGGGUCAAUCCGACCAACACCUAGUUCACAACGUUUAGGGCGUGGACUAC
rnacentral:misc_RNA from 1 species